rnacentral:rRNA from 1 species
GUGUCAGCCGCCGCGGUAAUACGGAGGGGGCUAGCGUUGUUCGGAAUUACUGGGCGUAAAGGGCGCGUAGGCGGCGCGAUAAGUUGGGCGUGAAAGGCCCGGGCUCAACCCGGGGACUGCGCUUGAUACUGUCGCGCUGUGAGUCCGGGAGAGGAUGGCGGAAUUCCCAGUGUAGAGGUGAAAUUCGUAGAUAUUGGGAAGAACACCGGUGGCGAAGGCGGCCAUCUGGACCGGCACUGACGCUGAGGCGCGAAAGCGUGGGGAGCAAACAGGAUUAGAUACCCUAGUAGUCC